rnacentral:rRNA from 1 species
GACGAACGCUGGCGGCAUGCCUAAUACAUGCAAGUCGAGCGAACAGAUGAAGUGCUUGCACUUCUGACGUUAGCGGCGAACGGGUGAGUAACACGUAAGGAAUCUACCUAUAAGCGGGGGAUAACAUUCGGAAACGGGUGCUAAUACCGCAUAAUAUCUUCUUCCGCAUGGAAGAAGAUUGAAAGACGGCUCUGCUGUCACUUAUAGAUGACCUUGCGGUGCAUUAGUUAGUUGGUGGGGUAAUGGCCUACCAAGACGAUGAUGCAUAGCCGAACUGAGAGGGUGAUCGGCCACCUGGGGACUGAGACACGGCCCAAACUCCUACGGGAGGCAGCAGUAGGGAAUCUUCCGCAAUGGGCGAAAGCCUGACGGAGCAAUGCCGCGUGAGUGAAGAAGGCCUUCGGGUCGUAAAACUCUGUUAUAAGAGAAGAACAAAUUGUAGAGUAACUGCUACAGUCUUGACGGUAUCUUAUCAGAAAGCCACGGCUAACUACGUGCCAGCAGCCGCCGCAG